AUUGAACGCUGGCGGCAGGCCUAACACAUGCAAGUCGAGCGAGCGGCGGACGGGUGAGUAAUGUAUGGGGAACUGCCCGAUAGAGGGGGAUAACUACUGGAAACGGUGGCUAAUACCGCAUACUAUCGGAUGUACCCAUAUGGGAUUAGCUAGUAGGUGGGGUAAAGGCUAACCUAGGCGACGAUCUCUAGCUGGUCUGCGAGGAUGAUCAGCCACACUGGAACUGAGACACGGCCCAUACUCCUACGGGAGGCAGCAGUGGGGAAUAUUGCACAAUGGGCGCAAGCCUGAUGCAGCCAUUCCGCGUGUAUGAAGAAGGCCUUAGGGUUGUAAAGUACUGGCAGCGGGGAGGCGUUACCCGCAGAAGAAGCACCGGCUAACUCCGUGCCAGCCGCCGCGGUAAUAC
rnacentral:rRNA from 1 species